rnacentral:misc_RNA from 1 species
GAAAUGCGAUAAGUAGUGUGAAUUGCAGAAUUCAGUGAAUCAUCGAAUCUUUGAACGCACAUUGCGCCCCUCGGUAUUCCGUGGGGCAUGCCUGUUCGAGCGUCAUCUACACCCUCAAGCUCUGCUUGGUGUUGGGCGUCUGUCCCACCUCCUUCGCGCGCGGACUCGCCCCAAAUCCAUUGGCGGCGGCCCUUGCCUCCCUCUCGCGCAGCACAUUGCGCUUCUCGAGGCGCGGCGGACCGCGUCCAGCAAGCAACCGUCACACCGUCUUUGACCUCGGAUCAGGUAGGGAUACCCGCUGAACUUAAGC